UACGUCGGUCUAAGUUCCUUGGAACAGGACGUCAGAGAGGGUGAGAMCCCCGUCUUUGGCCGAUGUGCUUUGCCMWAUAAAGCGCUUUYUAAGAGUCGAGUUGUUUGGGAAWGCAGCUCUAAAUGGGUGGUGAAUUUCAUCUAAAGCUAAAUAUUGGCGAGAGWCCGAUAGCGAACAAGUAGAGUGAUCGMAAGAUGAAAAGAACUUUGAAAAGAGAGUUAMAUAGUACGUGAAAUUGCYGAAGGGGAAGCAUUGGAAACCAGUCUUACCUUGGUGAGAUCAGCUGUUYACUKGUAGACAGUGCACUCUGAACCUAGGUAGGUCAGCAUCAGUUUUCGGGGACGGAAAAAGAAUAAGGGAAAGUGGCUUUUGGGCUUGCUCAGAAGUGUUAUAGCCUUAUUGUAAUACGCCCACUGGGGACUGAGGUCUGCGACUUUGUCAAGGAUGCUGACAUA
rnacentral:rRNA from 1 species